CUACGGGAGGCAGCAGUGGGGAAUCUUAGACAAUGGGCGCAAGCCUGAUCUAGCCAUGCCGCGUGAGUGAUGAAGGCCUUAGGGUCGUAAAGCUCUUUCGCUGGGGAAGAUAAUGACUGUACCCAGUAAAGAAACCCCGGCUAACUCCGUGCCAGCAGCCGCGGUAAUACGGAGGGGGUUAGCGUUGUUCGGAAUUACUGGGCGUAAAGCGCGCGUAGGCGGACUGGAAAGUUGGGGGUGAAAUCCCGGGGCUCAACCUCGGAACUGCCUUCAAAACUCCCAGUCUUGAGUUCGAGAGAGGUGAGUGGAACUCCGAGUGUAGAGGUGAAAUUCGUAGAUAUUCGGAAGAACACCAGUGGCGAAGGCGGCUCACUGGCUCGAUACUGACGCUGAGGUGCGAAAGUGUGGGGAGCAAACAGGAUUAGAUACCCUGGUAGUCCACACCGUAAACGAUGAAUGCCAGUCGUCGGCAAGCAUGCUUGUCGGUGACACACCUAACGGAUUAAGCAUUCCGCCUGGGGAGUACGGUCGCAAGAUUAAAACUCAAAGGAAUUGACGGA
rnacentral:rRNA from 1 species